rnacentral:rRNA from 1 species
GAUGAACGCUGGCGGCGUGCCUAAUACAUGCAAGUCGAGCGAACGGACGAGAAGCUUGCUUCUCUGAUGUUAGCGGCGGACGGGUGAGUAACACGUGGAUAACCUACCUAUAAGACUGGGAUAACUUCGGGAAACCGGAGCUAAUACCGGAUAAUAUUUUGAACCGCAUGGUUCAAAAGUGAAAGACGGUCUUGCUGGCACUUAUAGAUGUAUCCGCGCUGCAUUAGCUAGUUGGUAAGGUAACGGCUUACCAAGGCAACGAUGCAUAGCCGACCUGAGAGGGUGAUCGGCCACACUGGAACUGAGACACGGUCCAGACUCCUACGGGAGGCAGCAGUAGGGAAUCUUCCGCAAUGUGCGAAAGCCUGACGGAGCAACGCCGCGUGAGUGAUGAAGGUCUUCGGAUCGUAAAACUCUGUUAUUAGGGAAGAACAUAUGUGUAAGUAACUGUGCACAUCUUGACGGUACCUAAUCAGAAAGCCACGGCUAACUACGUG